CCUACGGGAGGCAGCAGUGGGGAAUAUUGCACAAUGGGGGAAACCCUGAUGCAGCGACGCCGCGUGAGUGAAGAAGUAUUUCGGUAUGUAAAGCUCUAUCAGCAGGGAAGAAGAAAGACGGUACCUGACUCAGCAGCCCCGGCUAACUACGUGCCAGCAGCCGCGGUAAUACGUAGGGGGCAAGCGUUAUCCGGAUUUACUGGGUGUAAAGGGAGCGUAGACGGCUGUGCAAGUCUGAAGUGAAAGCCCAGGGCUCAACCCUGGGACUGCUUUGGAAACUGUGGAGCUAGAGUGCGGGAGAGGUAAGUGGAAUUCCUAGUGUAGCGGUGAAAUGCGUAGAUAUUAGGAGGAACACCAGUGGCGAAGGCGGCUUACUGGACAGUAACUGACGUUGAGGCUCGAAAGCGUGGGGAGCAAACAGGAUUAGAUACCCUGGUAGUC
rnacentral:rRNA from 1 species